rnacentral:snRNA from 1 species
AAGCAGUUCUAUGUGUGUAUAUUAAAAUCGGAACGAUACAGAGAAAAUUAGCAUCGAAUGACACGCAAAAUCGUGAAGCGUUCCACAUUUUU